rnacentral:rRNA from 1 species
GACGAACGCUGGCGGCGUGCCUAAUACAUGCAAGUCGAGCGAACGGACGAUAAGUUUGCGUCUCUGAUGUUAGGGGCGGACGGGAGAGUAACAUGUGGAUAACCUACCUAUAAGACGGGGAUAAUUUCGGGAAACCGGAUCUUAUACCGGAUAAUAUUUUGAACCGCAUGGUUCAAAAGUGAAAUUCGGUCUUUCUGUCACUUAUAGCUGGAUCCGCGCUGCAUUAGCUAGUUGGUAGGGUAACGGCUUACCAAGGCAACGAUGCAUAGCCGACGGGAGGGGGUGAUCGGCCACCCUGGAACGUAGACACCGACCAGGCUCCUACGGUAGGGAGCAGUCGGCAAUCUUCCGCAAUAGGCGAAAGCCUUGCGCAGCGGCGCGGCGUGUGUGAUGAAGGUCUUCGGAUCGCAAAAAUCUCUUAUUAGGGAAGAACAUCUGUCUACGUAACUGUGCCCAUCUUGACGGUAACUAAUCAGAAAGCCACGGCUAACUACGUG